rnacentral:lncRNA from 1 species
UGACACGGCAUUCCCUGUUACCCACUCUUUGCUGUAGCUGUGCCUUCACUUGUCUCUGAGCACAGAGUGGGGGGCCAGCCCCAGCCCUGCCCUUGGGGUGCUUACAGUGGGCCCCAGGUAGCUGCAGGCCUCAGAGAUCUCAGCUGUCAGAAUCUCAGAACACAGGAGCUGAAAGGGCCCAAGAGCAAGUCUGUCCCCUGCUUUUUAUUGGAGAGGUGAUGGAAUGGACAAAAAUGUCCCUUGGAUACUAAAACGGCCAUCUUCCCUGGCUUUUUGAGAUCAUGCUCUCAGAAAUUAGAAGACUUGGGUUCUGCUUCCAGAGGCAUAAAUCUGAGUCAUGUAUUGGAUUCAGAAUCUGGUUUCUGAGCACUGAUCUUGUUGUCAGUGAAUGGGCUGAGCCACCUGUGACACAUCUGCAUCACGUCAUAGCUUUAUUACCCUCUGUUGCUGCUUUUCAUGUAGAAAUUUGUGAAUGACAAAAACUCAUGUUUCUUUAUGGAAAAUGGAUGCCACAAGAAUGAUAACUGCUGGUGCUGAUGAUGGAAGCAAAGAGAUAUAAAAAAAUGGUCAUUCAUUCUUCAAAAUGGGAGUCUUAAACAAGUUGAAGAAGAGUGGAACAUGGGAUUGGCAGUGACCCAGAUCUGUGUCAUGAUCACGUCUACCAUAAGCUCUAUGCAAAACCUCAGAAUAAGUGGUUUGUGAAUUUCUACAGAUAUUUGUCUGGAAAACUGUGUGAAAUCUGAAAGGAUGGGAACUUGAGGUAUGAGAACGUGUAAAGAGAAGAGGAGACCUGACCGAAAUGAUAUGCUAUAGAAGUCUUUACCAUUUUAAGAAUUUCCCCAGGUCUGAUGGAAGCUUCAUGAAUGCAAUGGAUUUGCUCUACCUAAGUACACAGCUUGGUAGGGGAUUGGAUAUAGAAAUCCCUUUCUCUUUUUAUUCAGGGAAGAAAGCAAAUGGGAGCAUCUGGGAUCAUGAGGGUAUCGUGUUGGAGUGAGCUGGGCUAAGACUCCCCAUGACCCAUCCCUGGCCACAGCCAAAGGGCUGGCUCGAGACUCCUCCCCAGCCUCUCCAUUCCCAAGGCAGCACAGAUUCCUGCUUCACGAUUGGCAGGUUCAAGUAUGAUCGCUCUACCCUUGGCCUCAUUUCCUCAAUGCCCUGCCCUCCUUUAUUCCUCUGCUUUCCUGGCUUCAGUGUUUCUACCAGCAUUUUCAAUAUAGAAGGGGACUCAUCAGAUCAGCUUCUACCAGGGCUGAUAUUUAACUUGCUGAGGAGCCAACAGUUGUGACAUUAAGAAAGAACAGUAAGAGCAACGGUGUCACUGAAAACAAGGAUAACUAGUGGGCUAUUUUAUGCACAAAUGGUCCUUUGCCAUUCCCAUCAAGCUGAAAACAAAUAUCCUGAAACUAUUGAUCAGCAGCCAGUUAAAUUAAAUAUCUAAUUAAAAGAGAACUAGAGCUGUUUUAAAAUCAGACACUUCAAACACUUGCCAGUCAGAACAUGAUGAAACUGGGGGUUUUAACUCAGUAGCAGCAGCAAAUAAAAUAUUUACAGAUCUAAGCUGAAAUAAAUGCAUAGAUUCUCAUUUUUAAGGAGGAUGCACAUAGUGCUAUUUCAAACACACCCUGGCGAAUACUUGAUGCCUCUGAUUUAGAGAAUGUGCGGGGAGCACCAUUUGUCAGGAAAUGGGAUAGAACCAUCCAAUGUUUCCAAGUGUGAUCAUUUCUAAUGGAACAGGGAGAACUCUACAAAUGGAAUUCAAGUAGGAUUGCCA